rnacentral:lncRNA from 1 species
UUGGAGCGAGCAGGAUUGUGUUGAGCUUUGGUUCUCGGCACUUGUAUCAAGGUGUUUUCUGUUUUUUUCCCUUUUUUUUUUAGCAGCGUGCAAUGGUGCCGCAAUUGCUGUCGGCGUACUCUUCACCCCUGAUAGUUCUACUACGCAUGGUCAUCAAUGUUGAGGUGGUGACGGCCUUUGAAUUCCUAGAGCGGCGGGUUUACACAAUCCAGGUGCAGUGUGAUACUAUUGGUGUUGUAAUUUAGCUACUUUUUGCUCCUUGUAUUGCAGCUGGACGUAUACAUAUCGGCAGCAUUUUUGUUUGAGUUCUGGAGUUGGGCUUUUAUUAGGUUCUGCAACGCUGGAGAUAUCAACGCCUUGCUCUAUUUCAAUGCUCGAGGUUUGGUAGUUGCGACCAAUUGUAGCGCAGUGGUCUAUACAUCAGUUGUCGUAUUCGAGAUGGAGCGAUAGGCAAGAGAGUGCGCGGCUGUCAUUUUUCUUUGUUAGCGUGUGCGAGUUUUAUGCGGAAAGCCACACGCUGCCAUUGUUGGUGUUCAAUCUUCUUCCUGGUACCAAAGUAUUGUAUUGAAGGCAGCAUGGCGGUGGAUCAGCGUGAUCUAAGUUUGCAUGGAGGUCUUCCCGAGCGGGUGGAGUGGCGGUGUCACUCCUUGCUUUUUGGUCUUGGCUGUCGACAUUCCCUUCUUGAGUUGGUGCUGUAGCGGGGAUUUUAUGGUUGAGAAAUUCAUUCCUUGACGAAUUGCAAGGCGUAGACUGCUGAUCGACUAUGAAGAUAUUGCGGAGGGAGUGGAGACCCCUUAGCGACCACGUAGUGCAAGGAUUCCUGAAUUUUGACAAUCGAGGAAGUGGCGGUUCGUGGUCUCUGCUGCGUACGGUGGAAAGCAGCGAUGGCGGACUUCAAGCCGUGGCAGGUAAUCUUUGGCGGAUCUGUAGGUAGCCGGUUUUUAUCAUCGACGUUGUUUUUCUCGGCAACACUUAGCACGAUCUACCAUGUUCCUAUGGAGAGGCCUGAAGGUUGAGGCUUGAACAUCCAAUUUGUAACUUAACAAUUUUCUCUUAGUCUUAUUAAUCAUAGAUAGUAUUUGUGUUUAGUCGAAUAGGAGAAGGAAGCUGAAUAGCAGAUCGUUGAGUGAUGCGGUGGUAGGCUAGCUCAGUGAGAAGUGGGAUGUAUUGUGACACUCUAUUGCAACCUCGGAAUCGAACUUGUUGAAAAUAUAUAAUCGGGAGGCUACUAUCGCAAGUGCGCUCUAAUUCAGACGCUGCUGCCUACGACCUCGUGGAGUCAGGGUCGGUGGACAAGGUGGACAAUGUUUUGUCUUCUGCAAAAGUUCCCUCCCUCACUGGUGUCACUGGAGCUUGAAGGCUCGCAAGGAACCGAGCUGCUGAACGUAUGCCGCAGCAAGGCGUUGAAGGCAGCGAUUGCGGAGGAAUUCCAUCAACUUAUUUCGUAAGAAUUUCAGGGAACGACGUAGUUGGAUGCUAAGUGCAAUCGGAUGAAGUAGUUUAUAGUUGGAUUAGGUUAGGAUUUUGAGACGAACCAUUUUGAAUGAACUAUUUGGCUGAAAUUAAAUCACAUGGGAUGAAACAUUGGGGAUGAAUAUUGGUUA